UUCUAACCAAUUUAUAAUUGGAAAUAACACCCCAUAUUCUCCAGAUCUUAAAUUCAUAAUAUAAGGAACAUAUAGAAACUUGGAAUCACUCUGGAUCCUUUUCCAAGCCUUAGAAAUGAUGAAAACAAAAUGACAUAUCAGAACAGACCCGGAUCAGACCUAACAGAAAAGAUGCCAUUCUUUCACAUAGAUAAAGCCCUUAUCAGUGAGGUUGGCCUUCUUAAGAAAGUUAGCCAACUCAAUUUGCAAACUUUUACAACUCAUUUGGGGUCCAUUUGAGUUCUAGAACUCCAGAUAUGAUUUUUACAAAAUGACUACAGAUCUGACGGAAAACAGAAUCGUAGCCACCCGUGAUUCCUUUUUGGCUUAUCCAUCCUUCUCCUUUUGAAACACAUUUUAAGAUGUGUUCAUCAUCCCAAUUCAGUCCCCAUGAUAAUGGUGGUACUAAAAAGGGUUAGGGAUCAUUAGGAUUUCAUUUAGCCACAAGGAUGUAAUAAUAAUCAACAUGAAAAUAAACAUAAGCACAUAAAAUCAUCAUUCUCCCUUUUAGGGUUUCCAUGAUCUUUUGCCACAUGUAAUCCCCUAGAUCCAUCAUCCACCAUAUAUGGGGUGAAGAUAGGAUCUUGAGAUGAUGUAUAACAUACAAUUACAAAUAAAAUAAGAAGGAGAAGAGGUGAAGAUGAAAUCAUAAAACUAGAACAAGGUUAUGAAUCAAGUUGUAAGAAAGGAUAAGGAGGUUCAUACCAAUACGAAUCAAGGCUGGAAAUGAACAAGAAUUAAGCUCCAAACAGCCCCUUGGCUGCUCUUGAUCCCAAAGAGAGAGAGAGGGACGAUUUUUGAGAGAGAGGGAGGGUUUAGAGUGUUUUCCUUGUGUGUGUUCCAAAUGAUUCAAUUUACACAUUAAGUACUAUUAACUAGAUGGACUUUGCAAAUAGGCCCAUAGCCCAUGGACUUCAAUAAAAGGAGUUUACAAGAUGAUCAAAAGAGUCCAAUAACAUAAGAAAUCAGACAUUGGUUAAAUAAAUUAACCCAAGGUUACAAGGAUAAUUAAAUUAAAAUAACCAAACGUACCGAGAAAACCCGGGGCGUUACAACUCUCCCCCACUAAGAACGGACUUCGUCCUCGAAGUCAACACCUAGAAACAGAUCCGGAUAAUGAGCCCGCAUCUCGCAUUCCGGUUCCCAAGUCCAUUCCGAACCCUUCCUAUGUUGCCACUGCACCUUAACCAGGUUUAUAGUCUUGUUGCGGAGAGCUUUCGUCUUUCGUUCUAAAAUAGCGAUUGGUUUCUCAACAUAAUUGAGACGCUCGUCAAUUUGUAUGUCCUCCAGUGGUAUCACAGCGGUCUCAUCAACAACGCAUUUUCGUAACUGAGACACGUGGAACGUAUUAUGAAUUAGACUAAGCUCGUCAGGAAGCUCUAAACGGUAAGCCACCUUCCCCACACGAGCUAUGACCUUGUAGGGUCCAAUGAAUCGGGGUCCGAGCUUUCCCCGCUUCCGAAAUCGAAUCACACCUUUCCAGGGGGAGACUUUAAGCAACACAUAAUCUCCCACCUGGAACUCAAGAUUGGAGCGUCUUUUGUCGGCAUAACUUUUCUGACGACUGCUCGCUGUGACCAAAUGAUCCCGAAUCACUUGGAUUUUCUCCGUAGUCUGUAGCACGAUAUCGGUACUCCCAAGUACCCUCUGCCCAACCUCGCCCCAACAAACGGGCGUCCUGCACUUCCUCCCGUACAAGGCUUCAUACGGAGGCAUUUUAAUGCUCGAGUGAUAGCUGUUGUUAUAAGAAAACUCAGCUAGAUGUAGAUGGUCAUCCCAACUACCCCCAAAAUCAAUCGCACACGCCCUAAGCAUGUCCUCCAAGGUCUGAAUCGUCCGCUCACUCUGCCCGUCUGUCUGCGGAUGGAAGGCGGUACUAAAAUGUAAUCGUGUGCCCAAUUCCUCUUGAAACUUCCUCCAGAACCGAGAGGUAAAUCGGGUGUCUCGAUCGGAGACGAUAGAAACGGGCACCCCAUGUAAUGAGACAAUCUCCCGAACAAAGAUCUCGGCUAAUUUCUCCGCCGAUGAGCUCUCCUUUAUAGCCAGAAAGUGAGCACUCUUAGUCAAACGAUCAACAAUCACCCAUAUCGUAUCUGAUCCUCGGGCAGUUCUAGGAAGUUUUGUAAUGAAGUCCAUGGUUAGAUGCUCCCAUUUCCAUUCAGGAAUCUCCAAUGGUUGCAACUUCCCAUGCGGUUUCUGGUGUUCCGCCUUGACCUUCCGACAGGUCAUACAUUCUUCCACAAAUCGAGCCACAUCAUUCUUCAUUCCAUGCCACCAGUAAGCCUCAUGAAGGUCCCGAUACAUUUUAGUAGCACCAGGAUGGAUAGAAAAUUUUGACUUAUGAGACUCAUCCAUUAGGGUUUUCCGAUUUCCCCCGGUAUAUGGAACCCAAAUCCUACCGUAGCGAGUCAGCAAACCACGCCCGUCUCGUUCCAUCUUAGGCAACUCUUUCCGAAUCUUCUCACGCCUGAUGUUUUCCUCCAGUAUUGCCGUCUUUUGGGCGUCCCGGAUUAGAUCUAACAAAGACGACACCAUCGUGAUCCGGAGACACUUAGCUCGAAUUGGUUCGGCAGAUUGUUUACGACUAAGAGCAUCAGCUACCACAUUAGCUUUACCGGGGUGGUAGUGAAUUUCACAAUCAUAAUCUUUUACCACAUCUAACCAUCGGAUCUGCCUCAUAUUCAAAUCCCGCUGCUCGAACAAAUAUUUUAGACUCUUAUGGUCAGUGUAUAUGAUAAACUUCACUCCAUAGAGAUAGUGUCUCCAAAUCUUAAGAGCGAAAACAACAGCCCCAAGCUCCAAAUCAUGAGUGGGGUAGUUUCGUUCGUGGGGUUUCAGCUGUCGGGAGGCAUAGGCUAUCACCCUAUCUCGUUGCAUUAACACGGCACCAAGACCUUGAAGCGAUGCAUCACAGUAAACCACCAUAUCCUCAACCCCAUCAGGUAAGGCCAAAAUCGGAGCUUCACACAAUCGUUUCCUUAACUCAUCAAACGCCAGUUGCUGCUCCGGGCCCCAAACGAAUUUCAUUGAUUUCUUGGUCAAUCGGGUGAGUGGUAAGGCGAUUUUAGAGAAAUUUUCAAUGAACCUCCGGUAAUAACCGGCUAAACCCAAGAAACUGCGAAUUUCAGAAGGUGUUUUCGGAAUCUUCCAUUGUUUAACCGCAUCAACCUUGGCUUGAUCGACCUUGAUACCUUGUUUGUUUACCACAUGCCCCAAGAACUGAACUUCUUCCAACCAAAAUUCACAUUUUGAAAAUUUAGCAUAAAGCCUUUCUCUUGCCAGAGUUUCCAGAAUCUCCCGAAGGUGUUGCUGAUGCUCCUCUUUGCUCUUAGAAUAGACUAAGAUAUCAUCUAUGAACACUAUGACCGAACGGUCAAGCAUCAGGCUACACACCCGGUUCAUGAGAUCCAUGAACGCUGCGGGUGCAUUGGUGAGCCCAAAAGGCAUCACUACGAAUUCAAAGUGCCCAUAUCGAGUACGGAAUGCUGUUUUCUCAAUGUCUUCUUCACGAACACGCAUCUGAUGGUAACCGGAACGUAAAUCAAUCUUGGAAAACCAAGAUGCUCCCUGAAGCUGAUCGAAAAGAUCGUCAAUACGUGGCAACGGGUACCUAUUCUUUAUCGUGCGCUUGUUUAGCUCCCUAUAAUCAAUACACAUUCGCUGGGAUCCAUCUUUCUUCUUCACAAAGAGAAUAGGAGCACCCCAAGGCGAGCAGCUUGGCCGUAUAAACCCUUUAUCACUUAGUUCUUGAAGUUGAUCUUGGAGCUCUUUCAUUUCAGGUGGUGCCAAGCGGUAAGGAGAUUUCGCUACCGGAGUCGCACCUGGCACCAAAUCAAUGCGAAACUCCACUUGCCGAACAGGUGGCAAGCCAGGGAGUUCCUCCGGAAAGACAUCGCUGAAGUCGGAAACGAUAGGAACGUCGUCUAGUGCUAUAGCAGAAGAGCAAGAAGCCAUAGCCAGGCGGGGAAUGUCCCCCUGAAUAAUAAGUUCUCCACCUCUAGGGUUUCGAACACGAACUUGCUUCUUACGACAGUGGAUUUCCGCAUCAAACGCAUCAAGCCAAUCCAUGCCUACGAUAACGCAGAGCUCUCGCAUCGCAAUAGGGAUAAGAUCAAUAGGGAAUUCAACUCCAGAAAACUCGAGAGUGCAACCCCGAUAGACAUCGGUGACAUAAAUAGUGCGGUUGUCGACAACAUCGACAACCAUUGGGUGAGCCAAUUUUCCGAUACUACGCCCCAAACGAUUAAUAAACGUGUGAGAUACAAAAGAAUGGGUAGCACCGCUAUCAAACAUAACAACAUCGGGCUUGGAAUCUAGCAAAUAAGUGUCUGCCAGUGUCGUUGUAAUCACCGGCUCCUCCACAGUCAUCUGGUGAGCACGACCUCGUGUCACCAUAGUGGUUCCCUUAGAGGAUGAUGCAAUUGCAGGAUUUGUACCCCUGUCUCCUUUACCAGUCUUCAACUUCGGGCAUUCAGGCUUCUUGUGUCCCGUCUCGUUGCAGUGAUAGCAGACGGGAACUGCAGAAGUAAUAUGAGGUACUGCACUCGCAGGGGGAUCCCUACAAUUCUUCCAAUGAUGCCCUGGCUUUUUGCAGUUGUAGCAUAUCAACAUAUUUUUCUCGCCCUGAAGACGUCCUAUACUCAUACCUUGACUUACUACCCUGCUUUUGCGUUUUCUGGGCAUCUCUGGAUGUCUUGGAAGAGGUGUCAUUGGCCUUCCUCUUGGACUGGGUCUGCAACUCGAUUUCCCUCCUCCUCACUACAUUCAUGAUCGCAGAUAAAGUCGAGAACUCUUGCAUGCUAACGAAUUCCCGAAUCUCGAUACGUUGGAUGGCCGUGUACCGGCUGACUAACCAGGCCUCGUUCCUAGCAAACGAGGGGCAAAAAGAUAGCAUCUCCAAGAACUUGGUGUUCAGGUCACUAACAGAUUCGGUAGUCUGCUGUAAGGCCAUGAACUCUUGCUGCAUCCGCUGCUGCUCCACCUUAGGCACAUAUUGUGCCUCGAACCUCUCCACAAAUUGGGCCCAAGACAUGGCCCUCACUUAGUCUUCGUUCAAUAGAGCGGUGAUGGUGUUCCACUAUGUCUUUCCCCUUUUUCACAGCUGAUUCAUGGCGAUCACUGCUUUGUACUAGUUCGGACACCCAACACUUAUGAAGGCGCCCUCAACAUCUGACACCCAGGGCUUAGUAGCAACUGGGUCGGAUUCACCAUUCCAAAGAGGAGAGCUACACUUGUUGAACUUCUCGAAGUAGUAUGCCGAAUCCUGAACAGGCAGAGACAGUAACGCUUCCCCGGGAAUAGCCGCGAGGCGCUCAUCCAGAAGAGCACCGAAUUGGUUGAUUAUGUCGUUGGUCACACCCGGGAUUAGUUCGUUGAAACCGUUAUUGAAUUCCUCAGCGACAAUAUCCCUAACUUGCUCCAUUUGGAGCUGAUUAAGUCGAGCAGGCGGAGCCAUUGGUAUCCACAGAAGAAGGAAAAUCUUAGAAACAAUUCAGCCUAGAUAUUUCUAGGAAGACAAAACACUCAGCUUGCCGAAAAUUUUUCAACCUUGCCCCGACUCGAAACCGGCACCGAUGUUUCAAAUAGUAGGGGCCCUUCUACUACCUUCCACACAAGUUCCAAUUUCGCAUUCGCGUCUAGUUUCAAAAUUUCCAGUUCGCUCUAGCCGUUAAUUUUACAACUCUCUCACAUGUUAACACUAACUAAGUGUGUAAUCUAAUAUUUUAAGGCUAGUAGAAUCCAAUUCAUAGUCAACAAUUUAACAUAAACAUUUAACAUAAGAAAUAAGGCUUACUUGGCUGGCUGACUGGUACACCGCGACAUCUUUCACUACUAGUCUUCAGAAAGUUUGAAAAAUAUUUUAAAAAGAAAAUAAACUCUUAUAGAGCCUCAAAUUUGAGUCUAGAACAUCCACAAGAAUGCCUAGUUCCCUCAAACUGUGGCUCUGAUACCAACUUGUGACACCCAAUUUUUUUUUUCAAAAAUUUUAAACUUUUAAAACCCAUCUUAAAUUAAAUUAAAACAACUGAAAUAGUCAUAACAUAAUCCAUCAACUUAAUAAUCAUAUAAAAUAAGUGCGGAAGUAAUAAUAAUAAUAAGGUCCCAACAAAAUAACUAGUAGCGAUGUCCCGAUGCUCCAUGUCAAGCCUUAGCCUCUUUAAUCUUAACACCUGAAAAGUUAUAAGGGAAAAACGUAAGCACGAAGCUUAGUGAAUUCAAACACAGACAUUGUACUAACAUUCAUAUUUACUAGCCCUAAUCCAUUUUCCAAUUAUAAUGAUAAAGGCAAAGAACGAAUCAAUGUCUAUAUUACGAGAAGGACUUGUAGGUUUGAACCGCACCGGGAAGAUCCCGUAUCAUUUGGCCCUAAUCACCGCACCUCACGAAGAGUAUUACGUUGGUGAUCUUACCUACCCACCGCACCGGUAAAUCCGUAUCCUUUGGUGGUGUCCCCAUAUCCAUAAUUAGUUACAUACAGUGCACAUGUACGAAUUAAAACAAUACUUAUAUAGCAUGCUUUUAUAAUAAAUUCAAAUAAUCACACACGAGCUAACUAGCAAACACAAUCAUCAAUACAACGGUGUGAGAGAACUCACCUUGAGUGAGUAUUAAGGAUGGCUAACAAUCAAAUAAUGCUACCAAGCUUGAGCAAACUUCAAAACCUCACCUAAGAAGGACUAAAGGUUAGAAAGGAGAAGUAAUGAAGCUAUGAGUUGAGAAAAGAGUAAUCACAGCAAGGUCUCUAAAACCGACCUACUGUUGAAAACGGAUUUACUCCAAAAUCUUAAACAGAAACAUACCUUUAACUAAAUUUUAUAGGAAACUAUGAUUGCUCAGGAUUCCACAACUAUAAAGAACUCAUUCUAACUCCAAAAGAUGAAUUAAAUAUGAAUUUUACAAAAUGGUGUAUCACUUCUGUCUCCAACAAUACAGUCAAGUGAUGUUGGCCAAUUCUACCCAACUUGUGAGUAGAAUUCGUCCAAAAGAAAAUUAAGAGAAGUAAAGGACAUACAAGUGAAAGUCUCAGAGUUGGAAUUGAAUGAAAAGCAUCUCUCAAACUCCAGAUAUAAAAUUCACAUUGUGGACAAUCACAGCACUAGCAAAAGCUGGUGACUGCCCACUGACCUGGAGUGUGGAUCCAUUCUAACCAAUUUAUAAUUGGAAAUAACACCCCAUAUUCUCCAGAUCUUAAAUUCAUAAUAUAGGGAACAUAUAGAAAUUUGGAAUCACUCUGGAUCAUUUUCCAAGCCUGAGAAAUGAUGAAAACAAAAUGACAUAUCAGAACAGACCCGGAUCAGACCUAACAGCAAAGAUGCCAUUCUUUCACAUAGAUAAAGCCCUUAUCAGUGAGGUUGGCCUUCUUAAGAAAGUUAGCCAACUCAAUUUGUGAACUUUUGGAACUGGUUUGGGGUCCGUUUGAGUUCUAGAGCUCCAGAUAUGAUUUUUACAAAAUGACUACAGAUCUGAUGGAAAACAGAAUCGUAGCCACCCGUGAUUCCUUUUUGGCUUAUCCAUCCUUCUCCUUUUGAAACACAUUUUAAGAUGUGUUCAUCAUCCCAAUUCAGUCCCCAUGAUAAUGGUGGUACUAAAAAGGGUUAGGGAUCAUUAGGAUUUCAUUUAGCCACAAGGAUGUAAUAAUAAUCAACAUGAAAAUAAACAUAAGCACAUAAAAUCAUCAUUCUCCCUUUUAGGGUUUCCAUGAUCUUUUGCCACAUGUAAUCCCCUAGAUCCAUC
rnacentral:lncRNA from 1 species